AGAUUGAACGCUGGCGGCAUGCCUUACACAUGCAAGUCGAACGGCAGCACGGGAGCAAUCCUGGUGGCGAGUGGCGAACGGGUGAGUAAUACAUCGGAACGUGCCCAAUCGUGGGGGAUAACGCAGCGAAAGCUGUGCUAAUACCGCAUAAGAUCUACGGAUGAAAGCAGGGGAUCGCAAGACCUUGCGCGAAUGGAGCGGCCGAUGGCAGAUUAGGUAGUUGGUGAGGUAAAGGCUCACCAAGCCUUCGAUCUGUAGCUGGUCUGAGAGGACGACCAGCCACACUGGGACUGAGACACGGCCCAGACCCCUAGGGAGCAGCAGUGGGGAAUUUGGACAUGGGCGAAAGCCUGAUCCAGCCAU
rnacentral:rRNA from 1 species